UUUGAAGUUAGGUGCCUAGUUCCCUUUCUAUCAUCAUACAUCUUUGUUCCUUUUUUGACGGUACUAUAGAUUUUUGGUCAUUCUUAUAAUAUCAUUCUUUUCUUUUCCUUUUUGUUUUUGAAGAAAAUUCUUUUUUCAACUUCUUUUUUCUCAAAAUUUUUGAAAAUUUGGACAAUAUUCUCUAGUACCACAACCCCAAACUUAAAAUUUUGUUCAAUUCCAAGAGCAACCCCAAACUUUUUAUUUUUC
rnacentral:lncRNA from 1 species